rnacentral:rRNA from 1 species
AAAAAUACUGGUCCGCCCUCGUGGUGAGUACAUGGUAAGUUUUUGUCAUCAUCUUGGGGAACUUGUUUGCACUUUACUGUGUGACUUGAGAUCCAGGACUUUUACUUUGAGGAAAUGAGAGUGUUUCAAGCAGGCGGAAGCCCUGAAUACGUUAGCAUGGAACAAUAGCAUCGGACCUCCUUCCAAAGCUGUUGGUUCAUAGGAAAGAGGUAAUGGUAAACAGGGAUAGUUGGGGGCAUUCGUAUUUAACUGUCAGAGGUGAAAUUCUUGGAUUUGUUAAAGACGAACUACUGCGAAAGCAUCUGCCAAGGAUGUUUUCAUUGAUCAAGAACGAAAGUUAGGGGAUCGAAGACGAUCAGAUACCGUCCUAGUCUUAACCAUAAACUAUGCCGACUAGAGAUUGGGGGCCGUCUUUAUAUGACGCCC